rnacentral:rRNA from 1 species
GGGCCCGCACAAGCGGCGGAGCAUGUGGAUUAAUUCGAUGCAACGCGAAGAACCUUACCUGGGUUUGACAUACACCAGACGCCAGCAGAGAUGUUGGUUCCCUUGUGGUUGGUGUACAGGUGGUGCAUGGCUGUCGUCAGCUCGUGUCGUGAGAUGUUGGGUUAAGUCCCGCAACGAGCGCAACCCUUGUCCUGUAUUGCCAGCGGGUUAUGCCGGGGACUUGCAGGAGACUGCCGGGGUCAACUCGGAGGAAGGUGGGGAUGACGUCAAGUCAUCAUGCCCCUUAUGUCCAGGGCUUCACACAUGCUACAAUGGCUGGUACAGAGGGCUGCGAUACCGUGAGGUGGAGCGAAUCCCUUAAAGCCAGUCUCAGUUCGGAUUGGGGUCUGCAACUCGACCCCAUGAAGUCGGAGUCGCUAGUAAUCGCAGAUCAGCAACGCUGCGGUGAAUACGUUCCCGGGCCUU